rnacentral:rRNA from 1 species
UACAGAGGUGCCAAGCGUUAGGCGGAAUCACUGGGCUUAAAGCGUGUGUAGGUGGACGCGUAAGUACCUUGUGAAAUCCCUCGGCCCAACCGAGGAAUAGCGCUCCGAACCGAUAGGCUUGAGGAGGAUAGAGGUAAGCGGAACAGAUGGUGGAGCGGUGAAAUGCGUUGAUAUCAUCUGGAACACCUGUGGCGAAAGCGGCUUACUGGGUCCUUUCUGACGCUGAGGCACGAAAGCCAGGGUAGCGAACGGG